AAUUGAAAAGAAAAAUUUUAAACUGCGACGUUAUUUCAAACUGAAUCAAAGGUUUUACCAAAAUCAAAGGAGACCACUCGAACAAAAUCUGUAUUCUCGUUCAACCAUUUUAACCAAAGUUACCGACGUUUGUAGCCCAUGCAACUUAACUAACAUAUAUUACUGAAAGUACUUAACAAAAAAACGGAAAAUGCCAAAUGAGAAAUUAAUUUAACCUAGUGCAGAGAAGCCUAACCUCAUCAAAGGAGCCUUUGUUAAAAGAUAUUAUAUCUUUCUUAAAUGAAGUACGAUUACUCAAUGUUUCCUGUUUCUAGUUUGUUAUUUGCAUUUUUAUUUGAUGGAGAAACUUUUCCUUUUUGUUUCAAUGCAAUAAACCAUAUUUAAUCAUUAGUACUUUGCUUGAAGUUUUCUCUUGUGCCAAAGAAGACAAGUACCUCUAAAGUUUGAACGCUUCUACCAAGAAGCACAGACUGUCGUUGAUAUAUAUUUAAAUUACGACUGUGAAUUCGCAUUUUUAAUAUCUUUCAAAGAUUGAUCAAUGAUUGGUCUAAAGUUGCCCAAGGAUGUCAAGCUCUAUUGAAUUAGGAGCGACACCAGUUCAAGAACGCAGUGU